AAAACGACUCUCGGCAACGGAUAUCUCGGCUCUCGCAUCGAUGAAGAACGUAGCGAAAUGCGAUACUUGGUGUGAAUUGCAGAAUCCCGUGAACCAUCGAGUCUUUGAACGCAAGUUGCGCCCCAAGCCUUUUGGCCGAGGGCACGUCUGCCUGGGUGUCACGC
rnacentral:rRNA from 1 species